ACCUGAGUGGCUCAGUUGGUUGAGCGUCCGACUUCGGCUCAGGUCAUGAUCUCGCGGUCCGUGGGUUCGAGCCCCGCGUCGGGCU
rnacentral:tRNA from 1 species